AUGCUGCAGCAGCAGCUGGGUUAGAGGUAGGGGGAAGUUGCGCGCUCGCGGGGUGCAGGGGAGCCUGGGAUCAGUGGGGUUCAGUUCGGGACUGACAAUCCACUGGAUAAAGAACACCCUAGAAGCGUUCUGUUGUGCCUGCUGGGGCCCAAAAGCCUCUUGAGCCCAGCACGAUCUUGGUGGAUUCCAGAGCACUCAGAUCAAGGCCUGAGAUGGCGGCCGAGCGCUGUCUAGGAGGCCCGAGAGGGGGCUGUGUUGCGUCUCCUCGAAGCCUCUAGUAUCCCAAAGUGCUCACGAUUAUCCAGAAGUUACUCUAACUAGGGGGAAUGUGUGUGUUACAUCAGGAAAAACAGGAGUGACCUUAACUGAGAUGUGGUUGUCCUGUGUUUCCUAGGCUGAACUCUUGAACUUCUGGGCUCAAGCAAUCCUCUUGCCUCAGCCUCCUGAAUAGCUGAAGCUAUGGACAUGGAUGAAUCUGGAGAACAUCAUCCUCAGCAAACUGACACAAGAACAGAAAAUGAAACACCGCAUAUUCUCACUCAUAGAUCUUCUCAGCAUUCUAGGAGUAGAAGAGGAAUGGAAAGCAACAUAUGCCAACCUGAAGAAUUCCAUAAACACAAUUAUUUGAGGACAUUUUAGUAAAAAUAUAAAAGCAGUAUGAGUACCACUUACACUUGUAACUAUGAUGCUAAUACACUCUGACCUAAUCCAGGCAAAGUAAACAAGUGUGAAAAAUUCACUUGCCUUUUUGAGCAAUCAAAAUAUAAUUUCCAGAACUCACAGAUAUCUUAAAAUGUUAUUGAUUCAGUGUACUGAGCUGAAAUCUGAAGUAAUGAGUCAAAGCAUCUUGACUGGCUCUGAUAGAUUCUCUGCCUGUAAGACUGCAUAGACAUGCAGAUUGUCACAUCACUUGCCAUACCAGGAUCUACUGUAUUUUUGCUGAAGAGGAGAGCCCUUGGUCUGUAACUUUCCUUUACACUGAAAAGUGACAAGAAGUUAAAUAUAAUAACUUGUGUUUUUCUAAAGAGAUAAAAUUGUACAUAUGUGAUUGUGAAAAAUUUAGCAUAUUUAUGUUUCCUCAUAAAAAUGUUUCUUUCAACAGAUGCUGGGGAGGAUGUGAAGAAAUAGGAAUGCUUUUAAAGUGUUUGUAGGAGUGUAAAUUUGUUCAACCAUUGUGGAAUAUAGUGUGGUGAUUCCUCAAGGAUCUAGAACUAGAAAUACCAUUUGACCCAGCAAUCCCAUUACUCGGUAUAUACCCAAAGGAUUAUAAAUCAUUCUAUUAUAAAGACACACACACACAGGUAUGUUUAUUGUGGUACUGUUCAUGAUAGCAAAGACUUGGAACCAACCCAAAUGCCCAUCAGUGAUAGACUGGAUAAAGAAAAUGUGGUGCAUAUACACCAUGGAAAACUGUGUAGCCAUAAAAAAUGGUGAAUUCAUGUCCUUUGCAGGGACAUGGAAGAAGCUGGAAGCCAUCAUUCUCAGCAAACUAACACAAGAACAGAAAACUGAACACCACAUGUUCCUACUCAUAAGUGGAAGUUGAACAAUGAGAACACAUGGACACAGGGAGGGGAACAUC